CACCACUCCCCCUCACACCCUCUCUCCCUCCCCCACAAACCCCCCCCCCCCCCCUCCUUAGAGUUUUGAUUCUGGCUCAGGACGAACCCUGGCGGCGUGCCUAAUACAUGCAAGUCGAGCGGACAGAUGGGAGCUUGCUUCCUGAUGUUAGCGGCGGACGGGUGAGUAACACGUGGGUAACCUGCCUGUAAGACUGGGAUAACUCCGGGAAACCGGGGCUAAUACCGGAUGGUUGUUUGAACCGCAUGGUUCAAACAUAAAAGGUGGCUUCGGCUACCACUUACAGAUGGACCCGCGGCGCAUUAGCUAGUUGGUGAGGUAACGGCUCACCAAGGCGACGAUGCGUAGCCGACCUGAGAGGGUGAUCGGCCACACUGGGACUGAGACACGGCCCAGACUCCUACGGGAGGCAGCAGUAGGGAAUCUUCCGCAAUGGACGAAAGUCUGACGGAGCAACGCCGCGUGAGUGAUGAAGGUUUUCGGAUCGUAAAGCUCUGUUGUUAGGGAAGAACAAGUACCGUUCGAAUAGGGCGGUACCUUGACGGUACCUAACCAGAAAGCCACGGCUAACUACGUGCCAGCAGCCGCGGUAAUACGUAGGUGGCAAGCGUUGUCCGGAAUUAUUGGGCGUAAAGGGCUCGCAGGCGGUUUCUUAAGUCUGAUGUGAAAGCCCCCGGCUCAACCGGGGAGGGUCAUUGGAAACUGGGGAACUUGAGUGCAGAAGAGGAGAGUGGAAUUCCACGUGUAGCGGUGAAAUGCGUAGAGAUGUGGAGGAACACCAGUGGCGAAGGCGACUCUCUGGUCUGUAACUGACGCUGAGGAGCGAAAGCGUGGGGAGCGAACAGGAUUAGAUACCCUGGUAGUCCACGCCGUAAACGAUGAGUGCUAAGUGUUAGGGGGUUUCCGCCCCUUAGUGCUGCAGCUAACGCAUUAAGCACUCCGCCUGGGAAUUAUCGAACGGUCU
rnacentral:rRNA from 1 species